rnacentral:sRNA from 1 species
UGACAGCAUAUUUAUUGCUCUCUGACACC